UAAUCUAUUACUUGAGGAACCUUAUAUUUGUUUGAGUCCUCUACCAUUAGCAUAUUCAUGUAGUUUUUUCUUCCAUUUCUUUUUGAUGCAUGUCUUAUCACAUUAUUUUUGUAUAUUGUCUGUUGCAAGAAAGGCAUUAAUAAUAGGGACAUUGUUUCUUUCCAAGUUCCUUAACCUUUUUAAUAAUUUAGGAAUAAUAUCUCUAAAGUUUAAAAUUCCAAGAUCUUCAAAAGUUUUAACAUAAAGAGCUGUACUAGAAAAAUAAUGGGGAGCUUGCAAUAUUCUUAAGGCCAUUCCUAAUAGUUCUAUCAAUCAUAUUUGGAUCCUUUGCUCUUGGUUGAGAUAAAGAUUAUGCAUGUAAAAGCUGAGGAAGGUAAAACUUGCUAAUUAGUAGUACCUUUUGUUGAGGUUUAGGACAGGUGUAACAAUUGUUUUUUAUUAAGGUCUUCAUCUAUCUCCCCCUCAAAUAUGUUUUCAAGUCAGCUUUGCCACUUGUCAAAGAUUUAAUACCAAGAUGAGAUAGUAAUUCUGUUGUUAGAAGGUAUAGAAUAUUGUGAUUUGUAUAUAAUAUAUUAUACACUGACUUUUGAUCGAGCUUUUUAACCUGGUAUUUGUUUCAGGGCACAAGGAGAGGACAGUAUAUUUAUUUAAGCUUAGAUGAAGACUUCUUUUGUUAAAGAAGGUUGAUGCGGUAUGGAGAUGAUGGAUCAUUUCUACGUUGCUCCUAGAGGUAAAGAGAAUAUUGCCUGCAAAGCCUAGAACUGGAAGUGUUUGUUGUUCAGCAUCAAUUUUUGGGUUAAGUUUGCAGAAUACUUCAUCUGUAAUCAUUGAAUAAUAUUCCCAUGAAGGACUUAAUUCUCCUAAGCACAGAAGUUUGAAAAGGAAUACAAGCUGACAAGAAAGUCUUGUUGUGUGAUUUCUCAGUAACAGUUCUGCAAGUUGAAGGAAUGACAAAGCUGGGUAGAAUGGUACAUGAACACCUGCCACUUCAAUUGAAUGCAGAAAGAAAAUUUGUAAAAGAACAUGACAACACACCUGAAUCUACAUCAGAGACAACAUUCACCACUAACGAGCAAAGUAUUUCACCACUUGUGUAUCACCACAGGGAUGGACUCGCCCCUUGAAACUGAUGCUACAUUUGAUUUGGGGCAACAUUUAUAAUGACAUGGUAGAAAAAUAAGUAAAUUAUGCAUUACAAAGCCGUUUAGAAUCCCUCAAAUAUCUUCAUAUUGGAUACAGAAUGUUCGUGGAUAACCAUGUGACAAAAAUGGAGACUAGUUUGAUUUUAAGUAAGCUACCUCACGCAAUUAUUAGUGUCAGAGUGAAAGCAUUAAUGAAACAGAAUAGCUGCCUUAAGAAAAGAAAAACAAGUCUUGAAAUCUAACUGUUUAUAAAGCUGGGUCACUUAACUGUUAUAAACACAUAUUUGCAGCUUUGCAUGCAAUAUCAGCUUAUAGAUCUAGUGAAUUGGAAGAGAUGCCAAGACCAAGGUCCUGUACAGAAAAGUCAAGAGCAUGGAAGAUUACUUAUGCAUCAAAAGAAAAUAUCAUUUGAAAGCUUAGUGAGCAUUAUGAGUACGUGAAUUUGGAAGACAGGCAACAGAAGAACAACUAUUCAAGCACGAUCUUUCAUUACAGAGCAAACCAUCUAUGAUGGCAAUUAUUUUACAAGAUCACUUCAGAUUUAGAGAUAGAUGACAUAAGAGAAGUUAUAUGUAACAUGGACACCAACUCUGACAUAUGAAUCAGAUAUCACUCUUUCAAAUUGUAAUGACAUUGUGAUUUGUGAACGUGGUGUUAAUGAUGCAUACAACCAUAGCAACUCAAGCUCCCGUGGGAUACAUCCUUUGGCAGAGAUAUACAAAUAUGCAAAGUAAUAAUGAUACUUGUGAAAUACUAUAGGGGAAGUUAUAUGUUACAUACAUUACGGGAAGCUGAAAAUAUUGCAAGGGAAUCAAUUACACACAAUCUAGUAGCACAUUAUGAAUAAUGGAAUGAAAGCUCAGACUAUCAGCCUCCAAUUUUGAAAAAGUUUGCCUGUCCAUUUAACCCUUUUGUGAUUAGGCAUUUAGCAUUCCAAGGAAUUGUUGUCCAUUUAACCCUUUUGUGAUUAGGCAUUUAGCAUUCCAAGGAAUUGUGAAAAAUCGAACAAAAUAUUAAACUUAUGUUGGACUGA
rnacentral:lncRNA from 1 species